rnacentral:lncRNA from 1 species
AGCGGCGGCGCAGGCGCGGAGAGGCGCACAGCGCAGGCGCUGGCGCGGAGAGGCGCAGGCCCAGGUCCACUCCCCAGCUGUGAAAGGAGGAGCUCUACGGUGACUUUGAAGACUUGGAAACAGGGGACAUGCACAAGGGAAAAUCGGGCCCCGACACUCAGAAUGAAGAUAUAGAGAAACAAGGAAGAAAUUGACCCCGACGAAGAAGAAAGUGCCAAGAAAAAGCAUUUGGAUAAGAAGAGAAAAUUGAAGGAGAUGUUUGAUGCGGAAUAUGAUGAAGGAGAAAGCACAUAUUUUGAUGAUCUUAAAGGAGAAAUGCAGAAAGAAGCACAGCUGAAUCACGUAGAAUUUGAAGAUCAAGAUGAUGAAGCCAGAGUUCAGUAUGAUGGUUUUCGACCUGGGAUGUACGUCCGCGUUGAGAUUGAAAAUGUUCCCUGUGAAUUUGUGCAGAACUUUGACCCCCAUUACCCCAUUAUCCUGGGUGGCUUGGGCAACAGCGAGGGAAAUGUUGGACACGUGCAGAUGCGUCUGAAGAAACAUCGCUGGUAUAAGAAAAUCCUCAAGUCCCAAGAUCCAAUCAUAUUUUCUGUAGGGUGGAGGAGGUUUCAGACCAUCCUGCUCUAUUAUAUUGAAGACCACAAUGGAAGACAAAGGCUUCUAAAGUAUACCCCACAGCACAUGCAUUGUGGAGCAGCCUUUUGGGGUAAAAUAUGAUUACAAUAACUUGCCUAUUGCCGAGAUUAAACUUUACAGGCUGCGUUAUUUUAGCUUUGUGCUUUUCCUUUCAUAAAAUUCCACUCCUAAGAUGUUUCUGUUUUCUGGGAGCGGGGAGGUGGUUUGGAGUAUAUAUGUAAAUCUAUAUCCAAAUCUAAAUGUCCGUAUCCAGUAUGUUAAACUAGAAUCUAAAAUUUCUGGUUUGCUAUAUUUCUUUUUUUCCUUUUCCUUUAAGACCCUAUCACUCCACAGGGAACUGGUUUCUUGGCAAUACAGUCUGUCAGUGGCAUAAUGGUAACUAUCUUGGACAAUUUCUUUUACAGAUUGGUUUGAGAAAUAUAUCCUGAAUGUGGGUUAUUAUGUACAUGAGACUUUAAGUUGAAAAUUACUCAUUUUUAUUAUUAUAAAGUAAAUUUCCCUUUGCUUUUAAUCUUUGUACAUCCUUUUCAGUAGGGUGUGGGAUUAGAGGAGGGGAGGUGGAAGAAUUAUAAUGGUACAUUUCCUAUUUUUGUGCAUCUUUUGCAUUUAUUUAUCUAAGCAAGUAUUUAAGCAGUGCUCACCGUGUGCUAAGCACUAUAUGAGGUUAUGAGGAGCCAUCAGAGACCACCCAGACACAAGACUCCCUGCAGCUGUGCUGGGGUAGCAGUCUGUUCACUCCAUUUUCAUUUGACCAGUCAGGCAGGGCAGGGUUUACUGGUCCCAUUUAACAGAGAAGAAAGCAGAAUAAUGAGCAGAUGGAAUCUUCCCUGGAGGUCCAAAUUUUAAUUUUCUAAACAUUGCAACUGUAUUUUUCUUUUCCAUUUCGUUCCAAAUAAAUCAUUAUAGUAAAAUUACAUUCCUCUGAAAUCACUCUCAGGAAAGUACUCAAGUAGCCUUUUUUUUUCUUUUUUCUUUUUCUUUUCUUUUUUUUUUUUUUUUUUUUUUUGAGACAGAGUCGCACUCCGUCAUCCAGGCUGGAGUGCAGUGGCACGAUCUUGGCUCGCUGCAACCUCUGCCUCCUGGGUUUAAGUGGUUCUCCUGCCUCGGCCUCCCGAGUAGCUGGGAUUACAGGUGUGCACCAUCAUGCCGAGCUAAUUUUUGUAUUUUUAGUAGAGAUGGAAUUUUGCCAUGUUGGCCAGACUGGUUUCAAACUUCUGACCUCAGGUGAUCCACCUGCCUUGGCCUCCCAAAGUGCUGGGAUUACAGGUAUGAGCCACUGUGCCUGGCCUCAAGUCACCCUUGUUAGUUUGGCUUACCAACUUUAAAGUUUUGGAUUGCUUUUGUCAAACCACUGGGUUGCAAGUUCAGAUGGUCUCUCUUGUUUUUCUUAGCUAAUUGUAAGUAAAGUUCACUUUGGUAAUUUAUUGUGUUACAUAGAAUUGAAGUUUUUCUCUUGCUAAUAUUAUUCCUAUUUUCAAAUUUUGGGGCUCCUGUUAGCCUGAUUUUCGGAUAGCUGCCACAGGAGUUGUCCUUGAUCUGGAUAAAUCCAUAAAAAUUGUGAAGAAAUUAAAGCUAACUGGUUUUCCAUAUAAAAUUUUCAAGAACACUUCAUUUAUUAAGGUCUGUAUAUCUAUAUAUUCUCAUAUUUAUAAAUGUCCAUAUUGUUUGAGAAAAGGAAUGAAAUACCUCUAAAAUGUGGGCCUCAUAUUUUUAGAAAAGUGUUUGAAAUCUUUUAUAAACUUCAUAUUUUGUUUGCUCCUUUAUAUUCUGUAUUACUUAAAUAUGCUCAAAAAAGCAGUGGUAAACAGCUAUUUAGGAAUUGAGGCUGUUACUCCUGACUUCCAUGUGAGACUGCCACGGAACUCAUAUUGAAAAUAUGUCAUUUUAUCCACUAGGUUUUGUUUCCUACUUUUUAAAUUGGUGUUAAGAAAGGGAAAAAAAUCACAAGUUUGUCUAACUCAGUAGAAAAACCGACAAAGCAUUUGCAGACAACUUGGCAAGGGUACAGAGAAACGGAUGUACUGUUUUACAGUAUUUGGGGAGGGUGGUUUGAGCAGCAUUUAUUGACAAUUUCAUUAGUGGGGAUGUUUCUAUUGAAAACACAGAGUUAGGAAGUCAUAAAAUGUUCUUGCAAUAUAAGGUAAUAAUACCACCGGCGUUUAUCUUAUGUUUUCAUGUUCUAAGUGCAUGCAUCUGAGUAAAAGGAUCUGGGCUGCAGUCCAGUCUGAGAGAUGCCAGCAAAGGCUUCCUAGGCCAAUUCAGUCCAGUAAAUCCCUCUUCAAUCUUCUCUCCCACACAGACAGCAGUGAUGAGCAUGCCCGUGAACUCACAUGAUUAUUUUGGGGAAAAUGAAAGAGUUGUAUUCUUUUUGAGGUAGUAAUUCCACUUUCAGGGGCAAAUACAUUUUGAUUAUUUUAUCACCCUUCAGUGAGUUGUUUUUGUUCUUUAAUCAAGGAUGUAUGUUUGAAGUAAGAAGUAAAGCAUAAAGUAUACGAUUUUGUGUGUGUGUGUGUGUUUAUCUUGCUAUACCUGUAGGGAAUGUUUAAUUCUGCCUUGGAAGUGGCCAAAUUUGAAGAUGCUGUGAUUCGAACUGUCAGUGGGAUAAGGGGGCAGAUCAAGAGAGCACUCUGAGCUCCAGAAGGAGCUUUCCAGGCUAGCUUUGAGGAUAAGCUGUGGAUGAGCGGUGAGUGUCUUAAGUAGUGUUCAGGGCAGGGCGUUACCAUUCAUGCUUGACUUCUAGCCAGUGUGACGAGAGGCUGGAGUCAGGUCUCCAGAGAGUUGAGCAGCUCCAGCCUUAGAUCUCCCAGUCUUAUGCGGUGUGCCCAUUCGCCUGGUGUCUGCAGCCCCCUGGCCACACCCAGUAACAGUUCUGUGAUCUAUGAGAAUAGUUUCCUUAGCGAGCUUUCCCUUCAAAUACUUUGCAGCCAGGUAGAGAAGUUUGGAGUGAAGGUUUUGUUCUUUGUUUCUUUGCAGUAUGGAUAUGAAUCUUCUUUUGAAAAUGUUAAAGUAAAUUACCUCUUUUCAGA